rnacentral:tRNA from 1 species
CAAAUUAUAUUCAUAGGAAUGAUAUUAUUUACAUUAAUAUUUUAGUUGUGCGAUUCAGCUUAAUUUGA